rnacentral:rRNA from 1 species
GACGAACGCUGGCGGCGUGCUUAACACAUGCAAGUCGAACGGUGACCUUCAGAGCUUGCUCUGGAGUGAUCAGUGGCGAACGGGUGAGUAACACGUGAGUAACCUGCCCCAGACUCUGGAAUAACCCCGGGAAACCGGAGCUAAUACCGGAUAUGACACGGAGCUGCAUGGCUAUCGUGUGGAAAGUUUUUCGGUCUGGGAUGGACUCGCGGCCUAUCAGCUUGUUGGUGAGGUAAUGGCUCACCAAGGCGACGACGGGUAGCCGGCCUGAGAGGGCGACCGGCCACACUGGGACUGAGACACGGCCCAGACUCCUACGGGAGGCAGCAGUGGGGAAUAUUGCACAAUGGGCGAAAGCCUGAUGCAGCGACGCCGCGUGAGGGAUGACGGCCUUCGGGUUGUAAACCUCUUUCAGCAGGGAAGAAGCGCAAGUGACGGUACCUGCAGAAGAAGCACCGGCUAACUACGUGCCAGCAGCCGCGGUAAUACGUAGGGUGCGAGCGUUGUCCGGAAUUAUUGGGCGUAAAGAGCUUGUAGGUGGUUUGUCGCGUCUGCUGUGAAAAUCCGAGGCUCAACCUCGGACUUGCAGUGGGUACGGGCAGACUAGAGGUAUGCAGGGGAGAACGGAAUUCCUGGUGUAGCGGUGAAAUGCGCAGAUAUCAGGAGGAACACCGGUGGCGAAGGCGGUUCUCUGGGCAUUACCUGACGCUGAGGAGCGAAAGUGUGGGGAGCGAACAGGAUUAGAUACCCUGGUAGUCCACACCGUAAACGUUGGGCGCUAGGUGUGGGACUCAUUUCACGAGUUCCGUGCCGCAGCUAACGCAUUAAGCGCCCCGCCUGGGGAGUACGGCCGCAAGGCUA